ensembl:lncRNA
AUUUUGUUUUACAUUCAUUAAGUUCCAAAAAAGAGAGAAAAUUCUCAUAUGCAGUACUGCAUGGCUUUUAUGAAAACCAUGAUACAUUUUUAAAGGAUUUAUUAUUAUUAUUAUUAUUAUUAUAAAUAGUUCAAAAGAACAGCAUUUAUUUGAAAUAAAAUCUUUUGUAACAUUAUAAGUGUCCUUACUGUUACUUUAAAUCAAUUUAAUGCAUCCUUGAUGAAUAAAAGUAUUAAUUUCUUUCAAAAAUAAAAAAUAAAAAAUGACACUAACCCCAGGCUUUUGAACUGUAUUGUAUGUAACAUGAAAUUGUAAUUAACUGAAAUAACAUAGAUUUCUGAUGCCAUGUUUUCCAGGAGACCUCAGGGGAAGGAGAGCUCUGGAACUGACUCUCCAUGCGCUGGCCACCAGAUUCCCUCUAGACUGCAGCUCCUCUCUGGCCAGUGUUUCGUGUGGAUGGGAAGGAUUACUAUCCAAGGAGGUCCAUAUAAUACCAAGAAAAGCUAUUCCCUUUCAUCUCAGCUGGCAUAAAAGGUAUGUGGUUUGACAUUUGCCAUAUAUUGCUAUGUUUCAGACAUUUCAGAACAUGGAAUUCUUAGACUUGAGAAUAAACACAGAAUUGGUGCUCAGUGUUAGACAUCGAACUUGUUUAACAUCAAAUUCAGUGACAAGUGUAAAUUGGAUGUGAUUUCCAAGAUGCUGGCAACUAAAAUUACAUUCCAUUUGUUAUUUUCCAGUGGAAGUGGAAGAAUUUUGAGUUUGAGUUGACUAUACAGUAAUUGUAUUAUAACUGGAAUUUUUUGAGAUCAAAACAUACUAUAUACUUCUAAACACUCAUAAAAAUAAAAGGUUCUUUAUUGCCAUUGAUG